rnacentral:rRNA from 1 species
GAUGAACGCUAGCGACAGGCCUAACACAUGCAAGUCGAGGGGCAGCACAAGGUAGCAAUACUUGGGUGGCGACCGGCGGACGGGUGAGUAACACGUAUGCAACCUGCCCGUAAUCGGGGGAUAACCCGGAGAAAUUCGGACUAAAACUCCAUGUAUCUGAGAUAUCGCAUGAUAAAACAGAAAAACGCAAGGAUUACGGAUGGGCAUGCGGAUGAUUAGCUAGUUGGAGGGGUAACGGCCCGCCAAGGCGACGAUCAUUAGGGGUUCUGAGAGGAAGGUCCCCCACAUUGGAACUGAGAGACGGUCCAAACUCCUACGGGAGGCAGCAGUGAGGAAUAUUGGUCAAUGGGCGAGAGCCUGAACCAGCCAAGUCGCGUGAAGGAAGAAGGUCUUAUGGAUUGUAAGCUUCUUUAGCAGAGGGAUAAAGGUUAUUACGAGAUAAUAAUUUGCAGGUACUCUGCGAAAAAGGAUCGGCUAACUCCGUG